rnacentral:pre_miRNA from 1 species
CAAAUACUCCCUCCGUCCGGAAAUACUUUUCAUCAAAAUGGAUAAAAGGAAAUGUAUCUAGACGUAUUUUAGUUUUAGAUACAUCUCUUUUUAUCCAUUUUGAUGACAAGUAUUUUCGGACGAAGGGAGUAGAAA